UUUUUUGGGUGAAUCUGGAGGGAGGGAGGCGGUUUGUCAACGGGUUCUUGAAGAAUAAGAUGUUGUCGUUGUGGAAGACAAAACAGAUGGGAUUUAAAAGGGUUUUUGUUUCCCUUUUCAUUCACCAAAGAUUCACAAUCAAUGAAUUAUUACCAAAUUAACACGUAACGGAUCUCUUGUUCUCAACAUGCAUUGCCACGUGUCGAAGCCUGGGAGCGAGUAUGUUACACCAGAAAAAAGAAGAAAACAUUCUUCGGCGCCGGAUCAUGACUCGGUUAAAUAAAGAGAGAAGAGAAACCGACAUUAUUACGCCCACCAUAAAGUCAUUAUCUUUUUCCCCCACCUUCAUCCUUCCUCUUUCCCCCUUCCUCGUUCUCUCUCUCUCUCAUCUUCCUCGCCAAACAUCGAGUCCGUUGAAUUUCUGCUCCCAAAGGGACCCUAGAUUUUCCGUCACCGGGUGUCAUCUUCCUUGUUCUUCCCGUUUCUUGUUCUCCGAUUGCUGGGUUUUGGUCCCGAAUUCUCCUUCCGUUCCUGUUUUCCGAACCCUAGAUCCUCGAAUUGUAAUUGGAAAUCCUGAAUUUUUGGGAGAAAUUUUUCAUCUUUAUAGGAGGGCCAUGGGUAAAACUGACGCGGAUAACCCAGGAUCCUCUUCGUCUUCUUCGCCUGAGACGACGUCGUCGACGUGGAUAACAGACACCGUCAAUGGCUCUCACCGGUUCAACGUCACGGGAUACUCUCUGGCCAAAGGCAUAGGAGCAGGCAAGUACAUAGCGUCUGAUACAUUCAUGGUUGGCGGGUACCAAUGGGCGAUCUAUUUUUACCCCGACGGGAAGAGCGUGGAGGACAAUGGGGCGUAUGUGUCAUUGUUCAUUGCAUUGGUAAGCCACGCGAUAGAUGUGAGGGCGCUGUUUGAGCUUACGCUGUUGGAUCAGAGCGGCAAGGAGAGGCAUAAGGUUCAUAGCCAUUUUGGGAGGACCCUUGAGAGCGGUCCGUACACGCUCAAGUAUCGCGGUAGCAUGUGGGGAUAUAAACGAUUCUUCAAGAGAUCUCUUUUGGAGACAUCUGACUAUUUAAAAGGAGACUGUCUGAUGGUGCACUGCAGUGUAGGUGUUGUUAGGUCUCGUGUUGAGGGGCCUCGGGUCUAUUACAUAGAGAUUCCUCCUUCAGACAUCUGCCACGACUUCGGGAAGCUCUUAGAAAGUGGAAAAGGCACCGACGUUAGUUUUGAAGUUGAUGGUGAACUGUUUGCAGCUCAUAAGCUCAUCCUUGCUGCUCGCUCUCCUGUGUUUAGGGCUCAACUUUUUGGCCCUAUGAAAGAUCGGAAUACACACUGUAUAACAAUUGAGGACAUUGAAGCUCCAGUGUUUAAGGCUCUUCUUCAUUUCAUUUACUGGGAUUCUCUUCCUGAUCUACAAGAGCUAGCUGGUUUGAAUUCCAAAUGGGCGUUGACUUUGAUGUCUCAGCACCUUCUAGCUGCGGCCGACAGAUAUGGUCUGGAAAGGCUUAGGUUGCAAUGCAUGGCUAAUCUUUGUGAUGAUGUCACCAUUAACACGGUAGCAACCACUCUUGCGUUAGCGGAGCAGCACCACUGUUUCCAGCUGAAAAAUGUCUGUCUCAAAUACAUUGCAAUGCCUGAAAAUUUGAGGGCUGUGAUGCAGACAGAGGGUUUUGAGUACCUGAAAGAAAGUUGUCCAUCUGUCUUGACUGAGCUACUGGAGCAGGUGGCCAGAGUCAGCGAGCACUGCACGAUAGUUAAGGGAACCGGGAGUGAAGCUGUCCUCGAUGGAAGCGAUGUCAAUGGAAGACGAGUCAAACAAAGACUAUAGGAGGAAAGGAAACAAAAUCCUUUUCCAAUACCAUGAAAAUUCUUUGUAGGUCAACAGUAAACCAAGAGGUGGGAGAGGAAAGGCAAAUAAAGGCCCCCCCUCUCUCUCUCUAGGAACUGUAACAUGUUACUGUUCACGACUGAGUCAGAAGCGGGGGUAGUGCAGUGUGGGGUUGACCAUCUGUGGAGGAAGAGGCUGGAAGUGCA